rnacentral:lncRNA from 1 species
AAGAUGGCUGCGCCCAGUGGCGGAUUCCAACCUCGUGAGCGGCGCGUUGGAGAGCAGGAAGAGGGCUGGGAUGCGGUCGCUCCCAAGCGGCCCCGACUCGGGGCGGGAAACAAGAUCGGAGGGCGAAGGCUCAUUGUGGUGCUGGAAGGGGCCAGUCUGGAGACAGUCAAGGUAGUUUGGGACAAGGAAGUGGAGAAUUAGCAGAUCGAUAGGAUGGGACCCCGGGGCGGGGGGGAGGUGAGGGUGAGAGGCUCAAAGUGGAUGGAGAGGCAGAGAGAGUGAAACAUGCUUUUGGAGGAAGAAUAGCCUAGUUGACUGUCUUUUGGUUAAACACCUGGGUUGGCGUUACUCGUUGUCUUCUGCUCUUCGUGAAUCUCACUGCAGCUGUCACAUCCUGACUUCAAUUGAUUUACCGGGAUUCUGUGGUAAAAAGUUAUCUAAAGGGAGGGAGGGUAGGGAAGGAUAGACAUGUCCAUUGCGUCAUCCCUAGGUGUCUUUUGUCACCUUCCUUUAUAGUACUAUCCACUUUGAAACGCUGGAUCAAUUAUCAUUUAAUACUUUUACAUCCUUAUUUUUACCUGUCAUUCAGCCCUUUUCCCGAAUAUUCCAGCAAUUGUAUAUCUUAAAACUGCAGUGUUCUCACUCUGACUUUCUUGUUUCUCUUACCUUUAGAGCUAAACUUGUCGAAUGAGGAGGCCCAGAAGAAAUAGCACUGGUUUCUAAGUCAGACCUGGGUUUUAAACUUGUUUUUCAUACUUAUUUUAAGUGUGUGAUCUUGAGAAAACAACUUUGUCCUUAGUUUGUAAAGUGGAGGUUAAUACUUUGAAAGUGCUUUAAAAGUAAUAUUUUGAUAGUAAUGUGAUUCUUUUCCAUUUUUACUUCCUCAAUCUUUGUGUUACUUUAUUAAGCUUGCAGUCUAGAAAGUCUUUUUUUUUUUUCCCAUUUUUCUUAGGUAAUUGAUAUUUCCAACUUAAUUACAGGAUCUUAUAUUUAUGUCUCAGUUAAUUGCUUGCCGUCUUCCCAGCCUAUUAAUUCUGAAUCUCCCUUAACCACUUGUUUCUUCAUAUGUCCCAUGGGGAUGAUAGUACGGACCUUAUUGGGUUGAGGGGAUGAAGGGAGGUAAUAUCAGCAAAGGGUUUAGAAUGAUGCCUGUCACUUGGAAUAAAUUAUUGCCAUUGUUAUUGAUUCCAGGUUCCUCAUCAAGAAGUUAAAAAGGUCACGGCCAAAUUAAAAUUCUUAGAGCAUGCUGGUGGAAUGUAGGUCAGAUUGUCAUUAAUGGUACUCCAGGGAUGAUUGAAUUCAUAGCUGGUUGAAAUUUUAUGUACUAUUAUCUUUUGCCUUCCUGGUGCUGGUCCUUCUUGUUCUGCUAGCCUCGUGGAGCCUGCUCUCUCCUAUUUAUUCCUUAGACUCCAGACUUGUUGGCCUUUGUUAAAGUCUUUGAAAGCACUAAGUUCUCUGAUAUUUUAAGGCCGUUGCACAUAAUGUUCUCUAACGGAAGCUUCCUUUACUUAGCUCUUUAUUAAUUCCUGUUUGACAGUUCAUGCAACAAUUACUGAGUAUGAUGCUGUUCAUUUUUCAAUUAUUAGUUAAAAUGUUAUUUCUUCAUAGGAGUGACUCCCUUCUUGGUAUAAAUCAGGCCCUCCUGUUAAUAAUCCUUUAACGAACCAUUUAUUUUUCUUUCAUAAUGUUGAUCACAAUUUGGUUGUGGUUUCAUUUGGUGGUUUACUGUUUGUCUCUUCCACUAGAAGGCUUCCAUGAGGGCAGGGAAUAAAAGGUUCUAAAAAUUCUUAUAGCUCUGAUACCUGUUACAGACAAUGAAUACACAUAGUACUCAUUCUCUGAUUAUUCUAAUUAGUUGUUUUCAAGCUUAUUAACCACAACCCACAAUAAAAAAGUCACAUUGUGAGCCAGUACACACACACACACACACACACACACACACACACACACAAACACAUGCAACUAUCUGAUACCAAAAGCUUCAUAAACUACCACUUACCAUGACUACAUGUAAAGUACUCUUUUCUAUUUUAUUAAAAUAAUAAAACUCCUGGUUAUAACUUCCUAAUGGGUAGAAACUGGAUUGUUCUAUUCAAGAAGUUCUUUUUUUCAAUAACUAAGAGUGUCCCACAGAGUUGGUUCUUUCCCUAUGCUUACUCUCUGACAUUUUUGUUGUUUCAGUUAAUCAGUUUCAAAAUCUACAUGCCUCUUCCCCCAAGCUUUGUGGAGUUAUGUUUCCUUUUUUUUUUUUUUUUAAGUGUUUAUUCCUGACAGAGAGAGUGUGAACAGGGGAGUGGCAGAGAGAGGGAGACACAGAAUCUGAAGCAGGCUCCAGGCCCUGAGCUGUCAGCACAGAGCCGGAAGUGGGGCUCGAACUCACAGACUGUGAGAUCAUGACCUGAGCUGAAGUCGGACGGCUUAACCGACUGAGCCACCCAGGCGCUCCUGGAGUUAUGUUUCUUAAGUUGUUGCCAGACAUACGAAUGUUCUAUUGAUACAUAAAAACACAGCCUCUCAAAUCCUGCAUUUGUAUAUUUAGUGGUGUGGUUUUGGACUUUUUACUGACCACUUUAUUGCUCCUUAGGACCCCAAAUUGCAAUCUGCAAUUCUUUCUUUUAGCUGCUAUAGAUUUUAGCCAGAUCUUUAGUAUCACACAUGUAGUUAGUGUCUCUUCUAGUAUACACUGAGUUACCAGAAUAAUAUUCCUCAUUCACUCAGUGCCCUGUUAUUCCACAAUUAUUUCUGGCUUUGUGCUCGAUACUUGAGGGACCUUGCAGUUUACAAAGCAGUCAUAUUUAAUCACUGUUCUUCAGUGUUUCAGUUCUACUUUUUCCGCAUGCGUUUUCCUUCUUCACAUUUCUGCUUUUCCUUUAUUCCAGCUGUACCUUUGCUCAGACCAGUCUUAACACUGGCACCAACCCUCUUCCGUUUUACUUUUGAAAGUAUUCCUUGCUGAAGUCGCCUCCCGCAUCAUUAGAAUUUUCACACUUUUCUCUCCAUCCUCGCCAACACUUAUUUCUUGUCUUUUUUUGAUACUAGCCAUUCUGGCUGGUGAGGUGAUACCUUGUUGUGCUUUUGAUUUGCAUUUCCCUGAUAAGUGAGGUUGAGCAUCUUUUCAUUUGUCUGUUGGUCAUCUGGGUGUCUUCCUUAGAAAAGUGUCUGUUCAGGUCCUCUGCCCAUUUUUUAAUCAGAUUGUUUUUUUUGGUAUUGCAGAAGUUCUCUGUAUUGGUUAAUUUGGAUAUUAACCCCUUAUCAGAUAUAUCAUUUGCAGAUACCUUCUUUCCCAUUCAGUAGGUUGCCUUUUUGUUUUGUGGAUGGGUUUCCUUUGCUGUGCGGGAGUUUAGAUCACGUGAAAUCACAGGCUGUGUCCUUUUGUCAUCCAAGAUCAUUUACAAGGGUAGGGGAGAAAGGGUCAGUGGCCACACAGUAAACCCCUGAAAGGCUUGCUGGGCCCCAUCCCCCAUUUCUGAUUCAGAAGAUCUGGAGUAGACUGAGAAUUUGACUAACAAGUUUCUAGAUGAUGAUUAUGAUGCUGCUGCUGCUUUGGGGACCACACUUUGAGAACCACUAGUCUAGGUAAAAGAAGCUUAUGUUGCUGUCUGUCAUGUUCCCUGUUCUUUAGGUAGGGAAGACCUAUGAGUUACUCAACUGUGACAAGCACAAGUCUGUGCUGUUGAAGAAUGGACGGGACCCUGGGGAAGUGAGACCAGACAUAGCUCACCAGGUAACUCCAGGGACAGAGCUCACGACCUCAAGCCUUUGUACAGAAGGUCGGGCAGCUGUGUGCUGCUUCUCUUCGCUUGAAACUAUGCCUUGGUUUCUGCGUCCCCCAGAGUUUACUGAUGCUGAUGGACAGUCCCCUGAACCGAGCUGGCUUGCUGCAGGUUUAUAUCCACACACAGAAGAAUGUGCUGAUUGAAGUGAACCCCCAGACUCGAAUUCCCAGAACCUUUGACCGCUUUUGUGGCCUCAUGGGUGAGAUCUCUAGGAGUUAAGGUUCAGAACGAACUUGGCAGUAGUGAAGAAGGGAGGAAGAGGAAAGAGAUAAAUGAAACGUGAGCUUUGUAAAUAGGAGGAGUGGGGUGUAUGUUUGAUACCAGAACAAGGACUCAUCUUCCCAGGGGCUGGGGUAAAACCUGCAUGGGUUCCUGGCCGAGUGAACUCAUUGCCAUCCAACUAGUCGUAUGCUUGACAACUGCUCGUUCGUAGCAUUUUAGGACCAUAGUGUGGAUGUAAAGGACACACGGAGCCCACUUUACCUGUGGGUUUUUCUGGUUAGAUUUCUGGGCAGAAGAAAUGGGGUCACCACCUAGCUCUGAACUCUUUUCUCCCCACCCUCAGUUCAGCUUUUACACAAACUCAGUGUUCGAGCAGCUGAUGGCCCCCAGAAACUCUUGAAGGUGAGAUACUGGCACCUACUGGUUGGAGGUGGGGUUCUGGGAUUGUUUCUGGGGCUGAUUUUUCUUUUUUUCCCUUGUUCUCUUUAGGUAAUUAAGAACCCAGUGUCAGAUCACUUCCCAGUUGGAUGUAUGAAGAUUGGCACAUCUUUUUCCAUUCCAGUUGUCAGUGAUGUACGAGACUUGGUGCCUAGCAGUGACCCUAUUGUUUUUGUGGUGGGGGCCUUUGCCCAUGGCCAGGUAAGGCCUGGGCUCAACUCUUGGGUUCUUCAUAGAACUGAGGCUUAGUAUAGAAUUCUGAGAACAGCUGGCAUUUUGAUGACCUUGGGAGACAGAGGGUGAGAACAAAGCCGGAAGACAAACAGGGCCUCCACGACCUGCACGCCCCCGCCCCCCCCCCCAGCUGUAUCUUUUGAGGACUGCUGGUAUAUUUGUGACAGUGAGAGUCAAGGCCUUCUUCAUCCUUUGUACAACUUGAACAGCACUGGAGGGGCGCCUCAGUGGCUCAGUCAGUUAAGCGUCUGAUUUCAGCUCGGGUCAUGAUCUUAUGAUUCAUGGGUUCAAGCCCUAUGUUGGGCUCCACGCUAUCAGUGCAGAGCCUGCUUGGGAUUCUCUCUCUCCCCCUCCCACCCUUCCCCCACACGCACUAUCACUCACUCUCUCUCUCAAAAACAAGUAAAUCUUUAAAAAAAUAGCACCAUAAAGAUCGGCUGGCUCAGUCGGUAGAGCUUGCCGCUCUUGAUCUCAGGGUUGUGAGUUCGAGCCCCAUGCCAGGUGUAAACAUUACUUAAAAAUAAAAUCUAGAAAGAAACCCAGCACUGUGAAAUACUAGCUCAGCCCUGUGUUCCCUUCCCCAAAGACGGGCUGAACUUGUUACAGAGUGACAGAACUGUUUCUCUCCUUAGGUCAAUGUGGAGUAUACGGAGAAGAUGGUGUCUAUCAGCAACUACCCCCUGUCUGCAGCCCUCACCUGUGCAAAACUGACCACAGCCUUUGAAGAAGUAUGGGGGGUCAUCUGACAAUAGCACCUUGUUCUGAAACAGAGACUGUUGCCAUUAUAUCCCUUGGCCCUGCUUUCCGCCCGCUGCUCGGAGAGAGGACCUUCCUGCACCGGGACUGUGGGGGGUUUGGGGAAGCCGAGGCUGUACAUUUGCUAUUUGUUUAGCUUAUAAAUACUGUUUAUCCUAUAAAUAUCUGGUAGUUCUUUGGGGAUUCCUAAAAUUAGCAGUAUCUUAAUGGUGGAAAAAAAUCUUAAUGGUGGUUCUCCUCAGACUCCAGGAAAAGAUGUGAGGUCACAGCGUUUGCAAGUUGGUCCCAGGCUUUGCGGUUAGGCCUUGACUCCCACCUUCUGGGUGGUAAAGAGAGAGCCCUGCUGAAUUUUCAGCCAUGUGGCAAGCACGGAGAACAGUCUGUAAGGAAGCAGCCAGGAAUGCCAGCAGUGAAAAACUGAACAAAGAGAAGUGAUUUUAUCUGGUACAGUUCCAAGGUAGAAAAAGUGGAGCAGGUGGGGCCUUGUACCCCACCCCGCCCCCCCAUGGGGGGGGUGGUGGUAGCGGCACAUAUACAAUCAUAGUAAAUUGGCAGGAGAAAAACACAACAGAUUCCUGGCUAGAGGGGGAGAGAUAAGGCAACGUGCAUGGGGGAGCCCAGAGGGGAGACACGGGCCCUCUACUCCUCCCACGAGAGUUUCCCCUUUGGCCCCAGGUGAAGACUUGGCUGGCAGCAGAGGCACGGCUAGGAGUAUCAUGUCUUCCCACUCCCUGGUUUCCAUGUUCUCUGUGCUCUGAGGCGAAGGAGGGCUGUGGAAAGGGAGACAAGUGGUUUCUGCACCAGCCCGGCGCUAGGCCACCUGCAAGAGAAGAGAUUUGAUUGGCAGGCUGGUCGGAGUUAUUCCUUCCAGUCUCUGGUCUACAGAGACCAGACUCUGGGGGCCCAAGUUUGCCGUGAUCGUAUAGUACUCUGCGUUGUGGGGGCCCAAGUUAGAGUGGUCAGUGCCCCACACUUGUUUUCCCGGGAGCCAGGCUACCUUCAGAGUCACUCCAGGUUUCAGUAUCGUCUCCCUGCCAUCCGCCCCCAAUCUAUUGCUCUCGUCUAUAACUUGCUGGUUCAGCUUAGCUACAGGGAUGGUCACUUACCAGGGAAAUCGAUUAUUUCGCUUUCUUUAACUUUUCUUUCCUUGGCACCAUUACUUUGUGAACAUAAGGCAAUAUGAAGAGUAGGCUCAAGAAGAAGACGUGGCCAAGAAAAUAGACGGAUUUAUACACCUGUAGGGAGAUAGCGGCCAUUGAGUGAGAGACAGAGCAAGGACCGUCCUCACGGCCUGCGGUUUCAGCGAUUUCCGCCCCCUCCGCUUACCUUAAACCACUUGUCCCACGUGAAGAGGCAGAAGGCAGUCAUUGAGUAACCCAUGAAGAGCCAGUGGAUGGUCUGCUGCACCAAGUAGUAGAAGGGUUGUAGGAUGGUAAUGGAAGCCAGGUUGCUUAGGGUUGGGCUCUCCUGAAUUAGCCCGGCAGCCUGGGGAGCGAGGGGAGAGGUCGUGAGUGUCUCGCUCGUCGUCGUCCCUGUUCACCUGGCACCCCUCAGGCCUACCUUUCUCUCCACGAUGACAAUGAGGAAUUCCAUCUGGAAGCAGACCAGGUAUCCCGAGUGGAGGCCGUGCCAGAGGGCCAAGAAGAGCAGCGACAGUCCCUGGGACAGUUCUUUAUUUCCAAGGAACUUGAGCCGUUUGAAGACGUAACUAGAGAAAAGGGUGGGUGGGGAUGGGCCUCAGAGCAGUGCCUGCUGCCACGCUGGUGGCUCCUGCUCCGGGUGGUCUGGGGUGAGGGAGGCGGUGCCAUCAGACUAGCUUUAGAAAUGAAAGGCAGGGGCACCUGAGUGGCUCAGUCGGUUAAGUGACCGACUCUUGGUUUCGGCUCAGGUCGUGAUCUCACGGUUUCGUGGGUUCAAGCCCCGCAUUGGGCUCUGCACGGCCAGUGCAGAGCCUGCUUGGGAUUCUCUCUCUGCCCCCCUGCCUCGGUCUCUGCCCCUCCCCCACUCUCACUGUCUGUCUCUCUCAAAAUAAAUGAAUAAACUUUAAAAAAAAUUAAAAGUGGGGCGCCUGGGUGACGCAGUCGGUUGGGCGUCCGACUUCAGCCAGGUCGCGAUCUCGCGGUCCAUGAGUUCGAGCCCCGCGUCAGGCUCCGGGCUGAUGGCUCGGAGCCUGGAGCCUGUUUCCAAUUCUGUGUCUCCCUCUCACUCUGCCCCUCCCCCGUUCAUGCUCUCUCUCUGUCCCAAAAAUAAAUAAACAUUGAAAAAAAAAAUUAAAAGAAAUGAAAGGCAGCGGAGUCGAUGACUCUGUUCAGAGACAGCAAACAGACCUCACGCUUAGCUGGGUGAGCUUGGGCGAGCCACUUUGUACAAGAUGACUGAGUGCUGAGCGCCCGGUGCCUAAGCUGCAGUGCUGAACAGGGCAGACCGGUUCUCGUGCCGCUCAACACUUGUGCGUUGGUGGGGACAAAUAAAGACGUUUGUAAACGGCAAAGGGGAACAUGAAACCAGGGCGGAACUGGGAUUAAAAUUCACGGCACCUCUCGGUCUUGCUUGUGCCUUGCGAAUGUGACAGGAGUGGUUUUCGGGGGGCCGGGAGUGGAGACGGAAGUCGGUAUGUGGUGGGUGGGUGCGAGAACGAUGAAGUUCUACCCAGAGUGGGAAAAGAUGGAUCGCGCAUCCGUGCGCUCAAAUCUGGGAAAGUGGUAGAAGAAGCUAGGGUCCGGACCCCCGUUCCAGCCGCUUACCGGGCCACCCAGGCAUUGGUGUUGAUGUUGAAAGAGGCGAUGGUGCCGGUGAAUCGGGGGGUCGUUUCAAAGAGCCACACCUUCAUGUUGGCACAGGCGUCCCACUUCGCCUUUCUGUGUUCGUCAAAGUCAUUGAAGCCCAGCCCUGUCAAAAUGCACACUCCUUCCUGAGGGAGGGAGCAUUCCAUUAGCAUUCCUGCUCCUCUCCUCCCCACCGCGCCCCACAGCUUGUUGGAAUAUGACCCCGGUUCAUCUUUCCUACUUACUGUGACCAGCCAACAGGUGACGUACUUGUACAGCACGAACUUGCCCCAGAGCAGCAUGUACAUGCAGCGGAACCAGAAAUCGUGGUUCUUGAGGAAGGAACACACAGGCAUUAGGGAUACUCCCCGGGCAAGGCCAAAUGCCCUUCAUGUUCUUCCCUUCCAAACUUGAGGCUGACUACUUCAUGUCCACCUGACGGUCCGCUUCGCUGCCCUUCUAGUAGGCUAAGAGGAAUACGCAGGGAGCCCAGUGAACAUCCAUUCACCUUUUUCUUUGAAGAGUCCCAGAAACAGCAUUGUCCCUAAACUCCUCUAACGCACUGAGCAUUCGGGACACGGAGCACCGAGGGACUUUUAUAUAUCCAUGGUCAAUGUUAGUUUAAGGAGAUAAACCUACCCAGAGUGCGUAGGGAGCUGCUGCAAGCCUUUCAGCUGGGCAGGAGCAAAAGCCAGCACUUCCCCCUCCCUUGGUUUUUGAAUUCCCUAGAAGCCCCCAAUCUAUCAAGAGAAGAAAACAGGCUGGAGAGGACCAAAAGCUGUUCUGCUCCAAGGAGUCACUUGGCUGUAAUAAAUCAGGCUAAGAGCUGCUCCCGAGGGAGGUAAGGGGUGCUAACAGUGCACCUGGCACAGCCCUGUGCCCACGGAGGUCGUUCAGUGCUGGCUGAUGAACAUGUCGCGGCCCGGCUGGCAUUGACACCAACUCUCACAGAUCUAGAGCGAAACCAACAUGCAUUUGUAGAUGGUGUUACCCGCUUCUUGGCUAUCUACAGGGAUCCUUGCCUGUCCAUUUCUACCUCUGAUGCAGUCACACUGCUGCUCCAUUAGUAAGCACUCACUUCAUAGUCUUCAGUGAGGAGAUAGUCUUCUGUGAUGUGGGGGCUAAGCAGAGUGUAGCCCACUAGGUAGACAAGGCCCAGACUCAGGCGCUUGAGAGCAGGUAUGGUGCUGGAAAGGAACAAGCAAGGUCACAACGGACAGAGGCUAUUCCCUUCGCCCUCUGACCUUAAAUUACGGAGAGAGGGGUUUCAGAGUGUGGCUAUCCGCCCGGAGGAGGACGAGUGGCUCUCCGUCCAGAGCCUUUAUUCAGUCUCAGGGAAAGACAGCUCUCUGUGGUUGGCUUUGGGCAAUGGUGAACGCGAGACCCUGAGAGUCACAGGGGCGGGCAGGGUGGGCAGGGGAGCGGUGUGGAUGAGUCUGUGGUGCUUCCCCCUCAGGGCUCCUACACAUCUCACGGCCUCACCAACCGCCUCCAUCCACACUGGGACCGAAAAUCCAGUGCGGAGGACUGGAGGAUGACCAAUUCUCAGUCUGCUCCUUCCUACCCUGGUUGAAUCGAGGCCCAAACACAGGCUAGACACGUUCUCAGGAAAAGGAUUUUUCUGGUAACUUUUCAAUUUUCUACUGUGAUAUAUAUAUACACAUAUAUAUAUAUACACACACACAUACACACACACAUUUUUAUAUAUUUAACAAUCUUUUCUUUUAAACCGAGAAAACGGGUUUUAAAGGCAGGGAUGUGACUGUUCAGGCAAAAUCCUGUGGCAUAAAAGCGAAUCUUUACGUUUGUACUACAGGGUCGGAAUGGCUGGCUGGAAGUAGCCUACGCUGAAAUGGGCCCGCCACCCGCGCUGAGCAGGUACGGAGCGCCCGUUACGACAGUCCGGGGCCGGUGCGGCACAGGCCUGUGAGCCGGGGCCGUGCUGGAGAACGCAGCCGGGGCUGGCCUGCAGGAAGGCACCUAGAAGUGGCUUUGUAUUGGGUGAGAUCACCUAUACAGAGGUCUCGACCAAGAGGGGCAAUUACCUGUUUGGUAUCUUCCCUGGUAUGUCAGUCAGCUGUCCCUGCACCAGCUUCAUGUAGUGGUUCAUUGAGAACUGGGGCCCUACCAAGAAGGCCCCAUAGAAGUAGGAGAAACCAGCAACUUCCAGCAGGGAAGGGACACCCCGUAUGGCAUAUUUCUGUUGCUCAGAGGACAAGGAAUUCUAUGCCGAGAAGAGAAUGAAUGGUUCAGGAUAGCCUUGAAUCUCCCCCCAAGAGCCAGUCUGCGUGUUCCCCACCCUGGGACCCCACUGAACUGGGGUUCUUCAAACAGCCGUCUCUUUGAGGGCGUGACAUGGAGAAGAGUAAUUGCCUCACGUGGAAAUGAGUAUGUGCAGGGGUAACUUAGCAACAAGUGGCUGCUGCUUUUCCAAACGCCAUGCUGGCACUGAUCUCUGGACUUUGUGCGAGAGCUGGAUCCGGGCAAAUUAGAUUUGCUGAUCCGUGCUCAGUGCUCUCUGAAACAGAACUCACACAGGCCGGGGAUGAGGUAGAGGCUCUGCCCCUGGCAUCUGGGUCCAGUCUUUUGAUUACAACAGCCUUUCUCCUUCCCUCUGGUUCAAUUCCUUAACCUCUCUGCAGAGGAAUGGGAACUUACCUGAUCCUUCCCUCCGUCAAAGUAGUCAACAGCCAGACCUGAGCAGAGAGAGAAGGUGUGGGUAGAGCAGGGGGAGAGGCCACUGAGGAGGUGGCCUGUGGACUGAGUGUAGCCAGGAGCGGACCGGGGAACACAGAGUAAGUUUACGGUCAGACGGGGAAGAGCCUAGGGGUAAAAGGGGAAGGCAAUGAGCCAGCACUCACCAAUCAGCUUCAAGGUCAGGACACAAUGUGGCAUUGUCCACUUGAUAUCAUAGUUGCCAGUGGCUGUGUAAUAAUAUCCGGCAAGAAGGUAGGCCUAGGGAGGGGGAAGAAUUUAUUCCAUCACCAGCUAGGAUUUCUUUAUUUUCUCCCUGCUCUAAAAUCCACUGUAUUCUUUCAUUUUCCCCUUCUCUGGGUCUCCUCCUUAAAGGCUUUUAAGUUUGAUCUUUUAAAUAAAAAAAAAAAUUGUUUAUUCAUUUUUGAGAAAGAGAGAACGUGAGCGGGGAAGGGGCAGAGAGAGGUGGGAGGGACAGAGGAUCCAAAUCAGGCCCUGCUGACAGCAGACAGCCUGAUGUGGGGCUCAAACUCAUGAACCGUUGAGAUCACGACCUGAGCUGAAGUCAGACGCUUAACCAACUGAGCCACAGAAGAAACUGAACCUAUGGAGAGGAAUGCUCAAGGCUUCUCAGCAGAAUGAGGGCUCAACUGAGAAUUUGGAGCUUAGAGUCCAUAGCUCAGUCUCAGCUGGUUUUCUGCCUGGCCUUUACGCGACACCCCUCCUGGACAGCUAGCUGGGUAGUCCUGGUCAAAACCAAAGAACAAGAAUGGCGCAGUCCUGUGCAAGGGCUCAGCUGUUCAGGUCAUCGUCACUGCAACCUGCAGAUGGGGCGCCUGGCGCCUGCGAAGAGUGACCUACCUGAAGCCAUGCUGCGGAGAGAUGUCGGGAGAAAGGACUAGAAAUCGGGUCUCCUAGGUCACUUUUUCCGCGCCACAGUCCCCGACCUCCCCCCUCCCCCGAACGGCUGUUGGCUGUGGUCUGAGCUGCCGAGGGAGAGGCGUUUACCAUCUGGAAGCAAAAUGUAGUGAGGACGGCAGUGACGGUGCGGCCCAUCAGUCGAAGGAUGAGGAACUGAAGUCCAACACACAGCAGGGAGUGGUAGAGCUGAUUUCCUGGAGGCGGAGAGGACAGCAAAUUUCAGCCUGUGGUGGUUUUGUUUUUUGGGUUUUGUUUUUGUUUUUUCGCAUUCUCACCUGGGCUGAGACUUCUAAACACAAAGAGAAUAUUUCAAGAAAAAAACCUUUGGUAUUAGGAUUUUUUUCUUUUCAAAGAGACUCAGAUCUUGGCGGGAGGGAAGGAAAUGAACUGUAUACAUAUAAGGGAUUGUCAGGGCGUUGCUGCAUUUCUGAGUGUUUGAGCUAAAGGGAUGCUCCUGAAGAAGGCUGCUUGCAUCUUUCAUCCAGUUACAGCCCCAGCAGAGGAAAUGAUGGGGGGCUGGCAAAGGUAACCAAGCACUCUCAAAAUGUUAUCUGGGAAAGGGAUGCACGGAAAAGGAAAAUUAAGCUCUGGUCCUGUGCAUAGAAACCCUCUUUGCAAGCAGAGCGUUAUUAACUUCCCUAGCCAUCACACUCCAGAAACUCUGUUUAAGCCUGUUCCUUCCCAGGUUCCCUCCAAUCGCCGUGCUACUGCCAAGUUCACUCACCAAAGUUAAAAUAAGCAAUUGAGAGGCCUGUAAAGGCGUGGAAGAGAUGGAUGAGGUAGCUGUCCUUGAAGUAAAGGUAACGCCGAUAAAAUACAGCCAUGGGGUAACCUAGAGGGGAGAAAAAUCAGUCAGAGGGUCACGCAUGCCUGAUGCCCUCCCGGUUUUGGAAGUUUCUCUGGCAUGAAAUGCAGCCCAGAGUGGAAAAUACGUCCCUUAUGUGGAUGACAGCAGAGAACAGUAUCCAAGAAUCAAAAUUUGCUUUGUAAAUACAAACUUAAAACUGAAGAUAUGGGGGCACCUGGGUGGCCCCGUCGGUUAAGUGUCCAAUUUCUGCUCAGGUCACGAUCUCGCAGUUCGUGGCUUCAAGCUCUGUGCUGACAGCUCAGAGCCUGAAGCCUGCUUCAGAUUCUGAGUCUCCCUCUCUCUCUGCCCCUCCCCUGCUCGUACCCUCUCUCUCUCUCUCUCUCUCUCUCAAAAAUAAAUAAAACACACACAAAAAAUUUUAAACUAAAGGUAUCAAUUUUAUACUGAGGCAAUACAAAACUGGGUCCUAAGACUAGGUUUCCUUUAUAGCCUAUUAAAUAUUGCUAGGAAUUUUCUCUUGCGUUUUUCUAAAUGACACAAGGAAUUAAGGGUGCCUAACGAUGCCCUGAGAUGCUAGUUUACACCUUUAUGCUCGAUUAUGAUUUCAUCGCCUGUCCUGUUAGCAGAGUAAUGUCAGCUUAUUAACAUUAUUAAGAGGACAAAUAUAAAUUAAAACCAGGCUACAAAAUGGGAUUACUGACUGCACAUAUAGUUGUAGACUCCUCACAUACUGAGGUCUGGGCAUCAACUGUGUUAUAAAUCCAUGUAAAUAUCCUGGGGAAAUGUCAUCUAAAGCUGUGAUUCCGAGGAUAGUCCCAGGGCCACGACGACGGAACUACAAGGGGUCUCUGCUGGGUCAUAAACUGAUUAGGCAUGGCCAAAGGCAGCUUACGGAAUUAAAAAGGGUCAAUAACAUUUGGCAUUUCUGAACUACAAUCAGUAUGUUCCAUGGCUUUACUACACAUUCAGUGUUCUGUCAAGGAGCGUUCUACUUUUUUUUUUUUUUUUAAUGUUUAUUUGUUUUCGAGAGAGAGAGAGAGACAGAGUGUGAGCAAGGGAGGAGCAGAGAGAGAGGGAGACACACAAUCUAAAGCAGGCUCCAGGCUCUGAGCUGUCAGCACAGAGCCCGACGUGGGGCUCGAACCCACGAACCGUGAGAUCAUGACCUGACCUGAAGUCGGACGCUUCACCGACUGAGCCACCCAGGCGCCCCGGUCAGGAAGCGUUCUAUCAAGAAGUUGCCCGGAAAUACUCCUCCUGCAGCAGAGCACGUGCAGAGAACUGGAAUCCCCACGUCUUUCUGGAAGGACACUUCACAUAUCCUAUCAUUGCAUAAUUAGUGUUCCUGAGCUGCUCAUGAUUUAUAGUUGCUGCACCUCUUGCUGUCAAAUUAUAGGUUGCAGUUAGUUUUUCGUGGGCAGUAUGCUGGUAUGCGUGAUUAAACUCUGAGAUGCUUAGGAACGUGUUGGACACCAAGAAAGUGCUCGAUUAUUUAUUAAGUGAAUAGAAAAAUGGAUAAUCAUGUUUUAUAUUGGCCUAUGUCCUUCUAGUCCUUUUCCCCGUUUUUUUCUUUUAAUUUGCCAACACAGUUCGGGUAUUUGUGUAUCCUGGUUUUUUCAUGGAACAGUGUGUCAACUAUUUGAUCUUCUUGGUGCUAGGACUUGCUGAUGUUCUUUGAUUGCUGUUUUCAUCAUGGGCUAGGCUCUUUAACAAAUUUACAGCUGCUUGCAAGUAGUUAAUUCUGCAGAUGGUCUAUGGAUCACGGGCUCAUUCAUUUGACAGAUGUUUGUUAAAUGCCUACUCUAUGCCAGGUAUUCUGAUUAUAGAGCAUAUAAUGAGGAAGGAGGUGGCAUGUAAUGGUUUAUUCUCUUUCUUUCUUUUUUAAAGUUUAUUUAUUCUGAGAGAGAGCAAGCAGAGGGAGGGGCAGAGAGAGAGGGAGAGAGAAUCCCAAGCAGGCUCCUCACUGUCAGUGCAGAGCCCGAUGCGGGGCUCAAUCUCACGAACCCCAUGAGAUCAUGACCUGAGCUGACUGAGCCACCCAGGUGCCCCUGUAAUGGUUUAUUUUCCUGCUAGCAGAAGAUGAAGUGAUAUAGGAUUAAUAGGCUCAAGGGAGAGGGAGACAUCUAUAAACCCUUUCAUAGUCAGAUGAAUGAGCAAAGAAACAGGAUUGAGUCUCAUUACAUAUCACAUGGGCAGGGACAGAACACCAGGUUACAGCAAGUUUUGCUAAGAAGCAGAGCCAGGUACUAGAAAGUAUAUAGAAUAGGGUCCAACUGCCUUAAAUUUUUUGCUUUUCACUUUUUAAAAAUAUUUAUUUUUGAGAAAGAGAGAGAGAGAGAGGCAGAGAGAGAGGGGGAGAGAGAGAGAGAGAGAGAGAGAGAGAGAGAAUCUGAAGCAGGGUCCAGGCUCUGAGUUGGACACAGAGAGCCCGACGCGGGGCUUGAACCCAGGAACCACGAGAUCAUGACUUGAGCAGAUGUUGGACGCCCAACCUACUGAGCCACCCAGGCACCCCUCAUUUUUUUUUUUUUAAGUUUAUUUAGAGAGGGAAAGUGCAUGUGAAUGAGAGGGGGAGGAGCAGAGAGAGGGAGAGAGAGAAUCCCAAGCAGGCUCCAUGCUCAGCGUGAAUCAAGAGUCGGAGGCUUAACUGAGACACCCAGGCGCUCCUGCUUUUCAUUUUUAAUGUUUUAGAAACAGGAGUACAAAUGAAUAGAAGCGAUAAAUAGGGUAGAUCUUAAUUAUCUAGAGUACUGGUAAAUGAGUUCAUCUAUAGAUAGCGAAGAGCUUAUCUCUUUAGGCACUAAGACCUUUAACCAACUGGAAGCACUAAAACCAUUUAGAAUGCUUGAAAUUAAAAAAACAAAACAAAACACGACACACACUACUCUGCUUCCUUAACCUGAAUAUACUUAACAUUUUCUUGGUGAUCUGGGCCAUAAUUAUUCUGCAGUACAGUCAUGAUGGCUUUGUGACCUGUCGAGGAGUGUGAAACCGUUUGCCCGGACCCUGUAGGCCCUCCACUGUUUGGCAUUCUGAGUUCUUGUAUCUGUUUCUUAUGGCCUUCAUGGCCCCUCCCUUGCUAUUCAGGGAUCAAGAGUCACUUCUUGAGCUUUGAAGAGUUCCUUUCCCAAUUUCUACUUUACUGCAGGCCUUAGAAACCGUAACUUUGUGUAAAGUUGUUAAAGGUGUAAAAAAAAGAUGUAAGAGCCAGAGUCUUGGGUGCUUUCCUUACAGGAGACUUAGUGCACAGGCCUGGUGACAUCUGUUCUGGCCGCUCCAGGCCCCUUCCUCCUGUUUUCAGGUAUAUUUGGGGGGCGGGGUGGGGGUUGUUGAGUUCCCUACAUGCAAGAAGAUGGAGCAACUGGCAGAAAAAUUAAAGAAGGCAGCAGGCCAGGUUACCACAGACACGGAGGUCCUAACAGAGAAGAGCAAAGCCCGGAAUGAAGCCUCAGAGAGAAGGAGGAGCUGUGUGUCAGCCGAGUUGCUGGGACAACCCAGAGCUGAUUUUGAGCGUAAACAUCAAACCUGGCUCUUGGCUGCCACUCAGCUCAGCGGGCUUCGGGGCCUGGCUGCCCAGUCACCCCUAGAGGGAUGUGCUG